rnacentral:rRNA from 1 species
AGGCGGUCUGUCAAGUCGGAUGUGAAAUCCCCGGGCUCAACCUGGGAACUGCAUUCGAAACUGGCAGGCUAGAGUCUUGUAGAGGGGGGUAGAAUUCCAGGUGUAGCGGUGAAAUGCGUAGAGAUCUGGAGGAAUACCGGUGGCGAAGGCGGCCCCCUGGACAAAGACUGACGCUCAGGUGCGAAAGCGUGGGGAGCAAACAGGAUUAGAUACCCUGGUAGUCCACGCCGUAAACGAUGUCGAUUUGGAGGUUGUGCCCUUGAGGCGUGGCUUCCGGAGCUAACGCGUUAAAUCGACCGCCUGGGGAGUACGGCCGCAAGGUUAAAACUCAAAUGAAUUGACGGGGGCCCGCACAAGCGGUGGAGCAUGUGGUUUAAUUCGAUGCAACGCGAAGAACCUUACCUGGUCUUGACAUCCACAGAACUUUCCA